CUAAACAAAUGCGCAAUGCCAGAUUUUCCCACAAGUUAAGCUGGGGUCAGGAAGAUGGGAAACAAAUGCGUUCCCACAUUCUCAGGAGUCUGCCUGUGAAAGCACACCUUGCUGCAAGAUCAGGAACAUUCCCAUUUUCACGACGACUCGCAAGCUCCAAUAUUGCAUCCAGUUUAGAGGGACAUUGACAAAGUGAAGCAUGUCCAGAGAAGAGCAAUCAAGAUGAUAAGGAAACAGACAAACAAACUGGAAGAACAAACUUAAGAGGAACAGUUGGUGGCACGGGGAAUGUUUAUCCUGGAGAAAAGAAGACUGUAGGGAGACCAUGCUGGCAGUCUUCAGGAGGUCCCCCGGUGUCUUUCCAGCUCUGUUCUUGAUGCUCAUGGCAGAUGGGCAGUGGAUUCGCAAGGGUACAAACAGAUCUUCAUACACUGAGAAGAAAAAGCAACGUUAAUGAUUAGCGCCCUUUAGUGGCUUCUGAGCUAAUUGCAGCAAACUGUGUUUGGACGUUCAUAGUUACCACACACACUAUAAACAGAAAAAUAGGUUUCUUCAUUUCUAGACUACAAAAACCAGCUUGUUAUAUUAUUGAACAAAGAGCCUCACAAAUCCUUAAAGACUAAUACAUUUACUCUUCAACGAUGAAUCUGAUGAAUCGGACUGUGGUCUAUGAAAGCUGAUGCCAUAAUACAGCGGUUUAUCUUAAAAGUGUCACAAACAUUUGCUCAGCAAUUCAUGUUAACCAGCAUCCAUUCUCCUUUCUAUGACACAGGACCCCAAAUCUGAAAUAAAGAAGGAGAAAACAUGACCAGAGUUUCUGUUGCUGUCUGAAUACCUUAUAUUUCUUAUACCUUAUUUUUUUUCUGGAAGAAGAGAAAUGAUGGAUCACGGGAACUAGCGAAAAAUACCCUUGAGAACUGAUGGGAUACCUAGAGCUACGCUUUGGUUCCUAAUCUCGUAAAGAUUUCUGUGAUGGUUUUCCUCUUUCAUUGUAUUUGCUAGACUUAGGGCUCACUUUUCCUUCAGUACUUCAAGACACCUCAUGGGGGUCUCCUCUCAUUUUAUCAUUAACCUUUUUAUUGCUCCAAUAGCAACCUUGUCAGGAGUGCUAGGCUAGGCUGGGCAUGAGUGACUCAAAGUCACCCAGUGAAUUUCUACAGCUGAAGAGGGACUGGAAUCUGGAUCACGAGGAGGCACAAUAAUGAAUCUUCAUGCAUUAGGAUGAGACUGGUUCUGGCUACAGCAUCGAACUCUAACUGGACAGGAGUUCAAACUCCUGCACAGCCUUCUAGCUUGCUAUAUGGCCUUGAGCCUGUCACAGAUUCCCAGUCUCACUUAGCUCACAGUCACUGCGAAGUUAAAUGGUGAAGCAAGAAAGGAGCCACCUAUAUUGUCCUGAAUUCUUUUGAUGAAAUGUGGAGUAGAAUACGUGAAAGAGCUGUUCAGCCAAAGGUGCCCUACUCAUGUUAGAGCCAGCAUGGUGCAGUGGUUGAGGAAUUGGACUUGUACCAGGAAGAGCCAAGUUCUAGCUUUCCCUCAGCCAUGAAAGUCUUCUGGAGGACCUUGGGUCAGUCCUUCCUGCUCAGCCUAAGAGCCAGAAUGGUCUAGUGGUGAAGGUGCUGGAUUAGGAGUAGGGAGACCCAGGUUCUGGGCCCCCGUUAGCCACAAAAAGUCCCUGUGUGACAUUGGGUCAGUCCUUUCCUCUUACUCCAUUAAGCUAUCCAAUUUCUCUUUCAAACUUAUCUCUCAUCGUCACAUUGGUUGGCAAAAGUUUCCAUAGCUAUAUAUUGUAUAAAGAAAUGUAGCCUUUUAUUAAUCCUGGGUCUCCCUGCGUUUAGUUUUAAUGGACAGCCCCAAGUUUCUGGGCAUAAUUCAAAGUGCUGCUUUUAAGCUAGAAAGCCCUAUAAAGCUCGGUAUCUAGCUACCUACGGAACAACCUUCUCCAACCAGAAUUGACCCAAUAUGUUCAUUCUGGGAAAUGUUUCUAGUAAUCCCUCAUUGUUGUGAAAUAAGGGGUGCUGAAGCCAGAUGUCAUUGUUCCUCUAUUACCAUCUCAGCCUCAUGGAACAGCCUCACCUAGAAGCUCGGCUUCCCCCGGCUCCUACCCAAGUGAGCAAAAAAUAGGAAUGGUUCCCAUACAGGUCCUUUCUACUCAAGGGGGAUCUCGGAACAAUAAAGCAAGCUAUGCACAGAGAAUCUUUCUGUCCUAUUGCUAGCUUAUCAUCUCCAUAUAGUACAGUAGAUGGGAGAUCUCCAUUUUUGAAAGCAGCUGGGAAGCUGACGUCCUUAUAU